UACGGAGGGGGCUAGCGUUGCUCGGAAUGACUGGGCGUAAAGGGCGUGUAGGCGGUUUACACAGUCAGAUGUGAAAUCCCCGGGCUCAACCUGGGAGCUGCAUUUGAUACGUGUAGACUAGAGUGUGAGAGAGGGUUGUGGAAUUCCCAGUGUAGAGGUGAAAUUCGUAGAUAUCUGGAGGAACACCGGUGGCGAAGGCGGCACCCUGGCUCAUUACUGACGCUGAGGCGCGAAAGCGUGGGGAGCAAACAGG
rnacentral:rRNA from 1 species